rnacentral:rRNA from 1 species
UACCAGCACCCCGAGUGGUCGGGACGAUUAUUGGGCCUAAAGCAUCCGUAGCCGGCCUUACAAGUCCCCCGUUAAAUCCAACUGCUUAACAGAUGGGCUGCGGAGGAUACUAUAAGACUAGGAGGCAGGAGAGGCAAGCGGUACUCAGUGGGUAGGGGUAAAAUCCGUUGAUCCAUUGAAGACCACCAGUGGCGAAGGCGGCCUGCUGGGCAGUUUGGCUGACACUGAGGCGCGACAGCGUGGGGAGCAAACAGG